UGGGGAAUAUUGGGCAAUGGGCGCAAGCCUGACCCAGCAACGCCGCGUGAAGGAAGAAGGCUUUCGGGUUGUAAACUUCUUUUGUCGGGGACGAGUAGAAGACGGUACCUGGCGAAUAAGCCACGGCUAACUACGUGCCAGCAGCCGCGGUAAUACGUAGGGGGCAAGCGUUAUCCGGAUUUACUGGGUGUAAAGGGAGCGCAGGCGGAGAAGCAAGUCAGUGGUGAAAGGUAUGGGCUUAACCCAUAGACUGCCAUUGAAACUGUUUCCUUGAGUGAAGUAGAGGCAGGCGGAAUUCCGAGUGUAGCGGUGAAAUGCGUAGAUAUUCGGAGGAACACCAGUGGCGAAGGCGGCCUGCUGGGCUUUAACUGACGCUGAGGCUCGAAAGUGUGGGGAGCAAACAGGAUUAGAUACCCUGGUAGU
rnacentral:rRNA from 1 species